rnacentral:rRNA from 1 species
GAUGAACGCUGGCGGCGUGCCUAAUACAUGCAAGUCGAGCGAACAGACGAGGAGCUUGCUCCUCUGACGUUAGCGGCGGACGGGUGAGUAACACGUGGAUAACCUACCUAUAAGACUGGGAUAACUUCGGGAAACCGGCGCUAAUACCGGAUAAUAUAUUGAACCGCAGGGUUCAAUAGUGAAAGACGGUUUUGCUGUCACUAAUAGAUGGAUCCGCGCCGCAUUAGCUAGUUGGUAAGGUAACGGCUUACCAAGGGGACGAGGCGUAGCCGACCUGAUAGGGUGAUCGGCCGCCCGGGAACGUGACCACCGUCCAGGCUCCUACGGGAGGGCGCAGUAGGGAAUCUUCCGCAAUGGGCGAGAGCCUGACGCAGCAACGCCGCGUGAGUGAUGAAGGUCUUCGGAUCGUAAUACUCUGUUAUUAGUGAAGAACAAAUUUGUAAGUAACUAUGCACGUCUUGACGGUACCUAAUCAGAAAGCCACGGCUAACUACGUG